UAGCAAAGGCAAGUAUGUAAUAGUUUGUUGACUUGAGGUGAUCUUUCUCUACAUUGGGAGAAUAUUGGCAUUCAAAAUAAAUGGAAUGAUAUUAUUUCAUGAUGAUGCCUACCUUAUCAAGUUUCUUUUCUUACCCUCCAAUGUCUACUGGACUUCAGCUUCAGUUUUUGUCUAGCUUAACUUUUUCUGACUUCACCAAUUACUGCUAGGAACAUGACUGGUUACUCAGCAGCAUAGUGCAAAUCACAGGCAAAGAAUAUGAAAAGUACCUGGAGAUGAUAAUACACUCAGGAAGAAAUCUGUUGAAUCUAAAGAGGUGCCGGAAGAAUUGUGACUGCCUACUGAAGAAAAGUUGAACAAUAAAACUGGAUUGCAAAGAGCUAAAUAAUCCAGCAGGAAAGAAGAUGAAUGUCAAAGAAUCUAUUGGAAUUUGAACUGCCAUUUUUUCCAAAAACUCACUGAACUUUUCAUACUCUUGGCAUUGCUUUAUUUCUGAGUAGCUCCAUAACAAGCGAGAAGGCCUCGAAUAACUAACUGGAGUACAAUGUUGCUGUAACACAGUGAUGGUGUGGAAUAGCUUCCAUUUGGGAGAGGAAUCAGUCCAACGAUCUAAAAUGCAGUGUCUUCUAAUUUGGGAGAGGAGUCAGUAUAACAGGUUUGGGAGAAACUUCAAAAUAGAAAAAUAGCCAGAUGCAUACCACUGACUUAUGGACUAUCACCUUAACUUCAAGCUCUGGUUUUACUGUUUCCAGGAGGAAAAGGAUUUAGCCCUUAGUUUAGCUGAAGUUUCCGUGAAGAUGGCAUCUUUAAGCGACCUUUAUCUUUUGGAAGCCAGGAGGUUGCUGGCUUCAUCUGGACUGAAAGAUAAAAGCCAAGGAAUAAAGGAUUAUGCUAACUGGAAAAAGAAUUCAAGAGAGUAUUUAAUGCUUGAAGAUGAGAUGCAAAGCCCAAAUGUUAUAUAUAUGGUGGAUAUGCGUAUUGGUUCUCCUUUUCCCCUAUCCCUUCCCCCCAAAUAAAUGUUUAUUGAGCGCCACUGAAAUUCUAGGAUAAUUUACUAGAGGAAUGAUGAUCCUUGGGUGGAGUAUCCUACUGUUGGCCCUCUUGAAGAGUUGAAUCUGGAAUUAGCUACCACUCCUUCCAACACUGACCUAGUGGUCCCUCCUUAAACAUUUAUCUCUAAUGAAAGCGGUCUAGUUGGCACAGAAUAAUUCUCACAGUAGGUCAGAUUAAAUGAAUAGAAGUCUUGUAUAAUUGCAGAUUGCAUGCUUUUUAAAGGAAGCAAGAUAGACCCUCCCUUUCCUUU